ACGAUAACGGCGUCGAGCGGCGGACGGGUGAGUAAUGCCUAGGAAAUUGCCCUGAUGUGGGGGAUAACCAUUGGAAACGAUGGCUAAUACCGCAUAAUGCCUACGGGCCAAAGAGGGGGACCUUCGGGCCUCUCGCGUCAGGAUAUGCCUAGGUGGGAUUAGCUAGUUGGUGAGGUAAUGGCUCACCAAGGCGACGAUCCCUAGCUGGUCUGAGAGGAUGAUCAGCCACACUGGAACUGAGACACGGUCCAGACUCCUACGGGAGGCAGCAGUGGGGAAUAUUGCACAAUGGGCGCAAGCCUGAUGCAGCCAUGCCGCGUGUGUGAAGAAGGCCUUCGGGUUGUAAAGCACUUUCAGUCGUGAGGAAGGUGGUGUAGUUAAUAGCUGCAUUACUUGACGUUAGCGACAGAAGAAGCACCGGCUAACUCCGUGCCAGCAGCCGCGGUAAUACGGAGGGUGCGAGCGUUAAUCGGAAUUACUGGGCGUAAAGCGCAUGCAGGUGGUUUGUUAAGUCAGAUGUGAAAGCCCGGGGCUCAACCUCGGAAUAGCAUUUGAAACUGGCAGACUAGA
rnacentral:rRNA from 1 species